GGAUAGUCAGUGCUGGAGAAAGGAGU
rnacentral:piRNA from 1 species